rnacentral:rRNA from 1 species
UACGUAGGGUGCAAGCGUUGUUCGGAAUUACUGGGCGUAAAGGGCUCGUAGGCGGCCAACUAAGUCGGAUGUGAAAUCCCCAGGCUUAACCUGGGAACUGCAUCCGAUACUGGAUGGCUUGAAUUCGGGAGAGGGAUGCAGAAUUCCAGGUGUAGCGGUGAAAUGCGUAGAUAUCUGGAGGAAUACCGGUGGCGAAGGCGGCAUCCUGGACCGAGAUUGACGCUGAUGAGCGAAAGCUAGGGGAGCAAACGGG